rnacentral:lncRNA from 10 species
GGAAUCUUGGCAAAGGAAGACUUGAUGAGUAAGAAGAAAAGAAAAGAUCCUCUUUCAUGGAUUUGUUGGGUGGAAGAACAUGCAUAUGUUGAAGCUAGAGGCACUGGAGUGAUGGAUUCUGCCUAGGGCAAGACAGGACUUGAUUCUUGCUGGAGGAGCCAUCUGAGUUUGUGAAGGGCAAGGAGAGUGCAUGGGCCGAGAAAGGUGCUCCCAGGAGUGA